rnacentral:rRNA from 1 species
CUACGUGCCAGCAGCCGCGGUAAUACGUAGGGUGCGAGCGUUAAUCGGAAUUACUGGGCGUAAAGCGAGCGCAGACGGUUACUUAAGCAGGAUGUGAAAUCCCCGGGCUCAACCUGGGAACUGCGUUCUGAACUGGGUGACUAGAGUGUGUCAGAGGGAGGUAGAAUUCCACGUGUAGCAGUGAAAUGCGUAGAGAUGUGGAGGAAUACCGAUGGCGAAGGCAGCCUCCUGGGAUAACACUGACGUUCAUGCUCGAAAGCGUGGGUAGCAAACAGGAUUAGAUACCCUGGUAGUCCACGCCGUAAACGAUGAGUGCUAGGUGUUAGACCCUUUCCGGGGUUUAGUGCCGUAGCUAACGCAUUAAGCACUCCGCCUGGGGAGUACGACCGCAAGGUUGAAACUCAAAGGAAUUGACGGGGGCCCGCACAAGCGGUGGAGCAUGUGGUUUAAUUCGAAGCAACGCGAAGAACCUUACCAGGUCUUGACAUCCCUCUGACCGCUCUAGAGAUAG